UGAUACUUGGGGUUGAAGAAGACCCCCUUGGCGUGGGCGUUGACGUCGGCGCCAGCUGCGAUGAGCAGCGCGGUGAUGUCGCCCUGCCGACGUUCGAUGGCGAUGUUCAGUGCCGUCUGCCCUGCGGACAGGGUGGGGAAGGUGGAGGCGCUGUGGUUCCAGAGCAGGGGGUCAGCGGUCUUCCCAGAAGUGACCUCUAAGCUGCCACCCGAUGGGCAAAGCCAAAAAAAAAAAGGAAAAAGAAGGAGGAGGAGGAGAAGGAGAAGAAGAAGAAGAAGAAGAAUUAGUGAAUGGUGGGGGGAGAGUAAAGUAAUAGCCUUUGGAGACAAAUUUGGCAAUAACCAUUAUAAUUUUAAACGUGCAUGGCCUUGAACCCAGAAAUUCCAUAGUGUUUUCCUAAAAUAUGUGUACAUUGUGCACAGGGUCAUAGAUAAGAAUGUGCACUGUGAUACUGUCAUAAUGAAAAAUUGGAAACCACCUGGAUGUCUGUCAACAGAAUGCUGAAAUUAGCCACAGUACAGCUGUACUCAGACAAAACAGGUAAAAAGGAAGCAGACUUUAACAUUCUGACAUGAGAAGGUGUCUAAGACAUAUAGUCAAUCCAAAAACAAGCAACUUGUAGAACAAUGUAAAUAGUAUAAUACUAUUCUAUAUUAAAUAAAUAGAUAAACAAAUAAGGCUAUCUAUUUCUAUGUGCACAUACAAAUAUACGUCAA